ACUGACUUGUAAUCAGUAGGUCCCGCGUUCGAUUCGUGGUGCCGGCA
rnacentral:tRNA from 1 species